GUGAGGUUUUCAAUUAUUAUCUUUCUGCAAUGAAUUUUGAUUUCUUAUGGUUUUAUUUUUCCUCCAUUUGCAUUCUGAAUUUUCAAUUAUUGUUCCUUUUUCUGCUUUCAGUUAGUGCUGUUUGUGUGCUGGCAAUCUCUAUCAGAUGAGAUAACUUUUGUUUUUGCUUUUGCUUUCUGUUUGGUUGGCAAGAAAAUCUCGGAAAACCUUGAAACGACAAGAAAUUUGAAAUUUUUUGUAAAGGUUAUUGUUGUUAGAACUGUGACUUAAAAUCCUAAUAGGAUUUAAAGUAGUUUUUCUUAAUUUGGCUAGGAGAAAAUAUUUUUUUAUGUAGAGUAAAAUAAUUUCUAAAUCAAGUGGGACUCUUAAUCAGAUUAAUCAACUAGGAUUGAGUAAAUUAACACUAAAAUAAUAGAAUGGUUAUUAUUCGUCAAUGCGG
rnacentral:misc_RNA from 1 species